GGAAAAGGAUGUGGCGUUGCCCAGACAACUAGGAUGUUGGCUUAGAAGCAGCCAUCAUUUAAAGAGUGCGUAAUAGCUCACUAGUCGAGUGACACUGCGCCGAAAAUGUACCGGGGCUAAACAUAUUACCGAAGCUGUGGAUUGUCCGUAGGACAAUGGUAGGAGAGCGUUCUAAGGGCGUUGAAGCAUGAUCGCAAGGACAUGUGGAGCGCUUAGAAGUGAGAAUGCCGGUGUGAGUAGCGAAAGACGGGUGAGAAUCCCGUCCACCGAUUGACUAAGGUUUCCAGAGGAAGGCUCGUCCGCUCUGGGUAAGUCGGGACCUAAGGUGAAGCCGAAUGGUGAAGCCGAUGGACAACAGGUAGAAAUUCCUGUACCACCAAAUAUCGAUUGAGAGAAGUGGGGACAGAG
rnacentral:rRNA from 1 species